AGUCGAGCGGACAGAAGGGAAGCUUGCUCCCGGAUGUUAGCGGCGGACGGGUGAGUAACACGUGGGUAACCUGCCUGUAAGACUGGGAUAACUCCGGGAAACCGGAGCUAAUACCGGAUAGUUCCUUGAACCGCAUGGUUCAAGGAUGAAAGACGGUUUCGGCUGUCACUUACAGAUGGACCCGCGGCGCAUUAGCUAGUUGGUGGGGUAAUGGCUCACCAAGGCGACGAUGCGUAGCCGACCUGAGAGGGUGAUCGGCCACACUGGGACUGAGACACGGCCCAGACUCCUACGGGAGGCAGCAGUAGGGAAUCUUCCGCAAUGGACGAAAGUCUGACGGAGCAACGCCGCGUGAGUGAUGAAGGUUUUCGGAUCGUAAAGCUCUGUUGUUAGGGAAGAACAAGUGCGAGAGUAACUGCUCGCACCUUGACGGUACCUAACCAGAAAGCCACGGCUAACUACGUGCCAGCAGCCGCGGUAAUACGUAGGUGGCAAGCGUUGUCCGGAAUUAUUGGGCGUAAAGGGCUCGCAGGCGGUUUCUUAAGUCUGAUGUGAAAGCCCCCGGCUCAACCGGGGAGGGUCAUUGGAAACUGGGAAACUUGAGUGCAGAAGAGGAGAGUGGAAUUCCACGUGUAGCGGUGAAAUGCGUAGAGAUGUGGAGGAACACCAGUGGCGAAGGCGACUCUCUGGUCUGUAACUGACGCUGAGGAGCGAAAGCGUGGGGGAGCGAACAGGAUUAGAUACCCUGGGUAGUCCACGCCGUAAACGAUGAGUG
rnacentral:rRNA from 1 species